rnacentral:rRNA from 1 species
CCUACGGGAGGCAGCAGUGGGGAAUAUUGCACAAUGGGCGAAAGCCUGAUGCAGCGACGCCGCGUGAGGGAUGACGGCCUUCGGGUUGUAAACCUCUUUCAGCAGGGAAGAAGCGAAAGUGACGGUACCUGCAGAAGAAGCACCGGCUAACUACGUGCCAGCAGCCGCGGUAAUACGUAGGGUGCGAGCGUUGUCCGGAAUUAUUGGGCGUAAAGAGCUUGUAGGCGGUUUGUCGCGUCUGCCGUGAAAAUUCGAGGCUCAACCUCGAACUUGCGGUGGGUACGGGCAGACUAGAGUGUGGUAGGGGAGACUGGAAUUCCUGGUGUAGCGGUGAAAUGCGCAGAUAUCAGGAGGAACACCGAUGGCGAAGGCAGGUCUCUGGGCCACUACUGACGCUGAGAAGCGAAAGCAUGGGGAGCGAACAGGAUUAGAUACCCUGGUAGUCCAUGCCGUAAACGUUGGGAACUAGGUGUGGGUCUCAUUCCACGAGAUCCGUGCCGCAGCUACGCAUAACGUUACCCGUCCGUCGGGAGGUACGGCCGCGACGGACGUAAACCGUACAAAUAGAAGUUAGACGGCGUGAGACGUGCCGACGGACGACGACGACGGGAGGUUAGG